UACUUUGCUGACGAGUGGCGAACGGGUGAGUAAUAUAUAGGUUACGUGCCUCUUAGACUGGGAUAGCCACUGGAAACGGUGAUUAAUACUGGAUAUUCCUACUUGUAGGGAAAGCUUUUGCGCUAAGAGAUCGGCCUAUACUGUAUCAGCUUGUUGGUGAGGUAAUGGCUCACCAAGGCGAUGACACAUAGCGGGUUUGAGAGGAUGAUCCGCCACACUGGUACUGAGACACGGACCAGACUCCUACGGGAGGCAGCAGUGAGGAAUAUUGCACAAUGGGGGAAACCCUGAUGCAGCAACGCCGCGUGGAGGAUGACGCAUUUCGGUGUGUAAACUCCUUUUAUCAGAGAAGAAAAUGACGGUAUCUGAUGAAUAAGCUCCGGCUAACUCCGUGCCAGCAGCCGCGGUAAUACGGAGGGAGCAAGCGUUAUUCGGAAUCACUGGGCGUAAAGGACGCGUAGGCGGGUUAUUAAGUCUGAUGUGAAAUCCUAUGGCUCAACCAUAGAACUGCAUUGGAAACUGAUAACCUAGAGUAUGGAAGGGGAAAAUGGAAUUAGUGGUGUAGGGGUAAAAUCCGUAGAUAUCACUAGGAAUACCGAAAGCGAAGGCGAUUUUCUGGGACAUUACUGACGCUGAGGCG
rnacentral:rRNA from 1 species